UACGGGGGGGGUAAGCGUUGUUCGGAAUUACUGGGCGUAAAGGGCUCGUAGGCGGCCAACUAAGUCAUACGUGAAAUCCCUCAGCUUUAACUGGGGAACUGCGUGUGAUACUUGGAUGGCUUGGAUUUGGGAGAGGGAUGCGGAAUUCCAGGUGUAGCGGUGAAAUGCGUAGAUAUCAGGAGGAAUACCGGUGGCGAAAGCGACUCUCUGGACGGCAACUGACGCUGAGGCACGAAAAGCGUGGGGAGCAAACAGGG
rnacentral:rRNA from 1 species